GAAGUAAAAUAAGGAAGUAAAAUAAAGGGUUAAAACUGUGAAUUCAACAGACUGAUGUCUGCAAACGGUCUGAUGGAAAGAGUAAGAAAAAGUAAAGAGCACUAAUUGUGGUUGCAUGAGAAGGUUUUUGUGCAUGGGUACAUUUUUGGCAGAGCUGACAAUAAUUACUCACAUUAAUGCAUUUCCAGCAGUUUUGCUCGUGCACGGUAUUGCAGAAUAUUUAACAAGAAAAAUAAUU